UACACAUUAUAGUGAAUAAUCAUAAAAGGAUUAGUACUUCUAUUAUUACUUAAAUGAUAAGAGCUCAUCUUAUGUUUAUAAGUUCGCAUGUAUCACAAAACAAAAACUCAUUAAAAGUUUUUUUAAAUAACUUAGAAUAUAAUUUUUUAAAAACAAAAAAGAAAAGAUGUUCCAAUCGUCUGUGCCAUUGUAGUAUCCC
rnacentral:lncRNA from 1 species